UACGUAGGGUGCGAGCGUUGUCCGGAUUCAUUGGGCGUAAAGAGCUCGUAGGCGGCUUGGCAAGUCGGGUGUGAAAACUCCAGCUCAACCUGGAGACGCCACCUGAUACUGCCAUGGCUAGAGUCCGGUAGGGGACCACGGGAAUUCCACGUGUAGCGGUGAAAUUGCGUAGAUAUGUGGAGGAAUACCGAUGGCGGAAGGCAGCCUCCUGGACCAACACUGACGCUC
rnacentral:rRNA from 1 species